GACGAACGCUGGCGGCGUGCCUAAUACAUGCAAGUCGAGCGAAGCGGCGGAUGGGUGAGUAACGCGUGGGUAACCUGCCCUUAAGUCUGGGAUACCAUUUGGAAACAGAUGCUAAUACCGGAUACUAAAGGAUGGACCUGCGAUUCAUUAGCUAGUUGGUAAGGUAACGGCUUACCAAGGCGAUGAUGCAUAGCCGAGUUACGAAACUGAUGGGCCACCUUGGGACUGAGACGCGGCCCAAACUCCUACGGGAGGCAGGAGUAGGGAAUUUUCCACAGUGGACGAAAGUGUUAUGGUGCAACACUGCGUGAGUGAAGAAGGUUUUCGGAUCGUAAAGCUCUGUUGUUGGUGAAGCGGUAAUCAACCAGAAAGUCACGGCUAACUACGUGCCAGCAGCCGCGGUAGUUC
rnacentral:rRNA from 1 species